rnacentral:rRNA from 1 species
CAGUAGCCGCGGGAAUACAGAGGGUGCGAGCGUUAAUCGGAUUUACUGGGCGUAAAGCGUGCGUAGGCGGCUUCUUAAGUCGGAUGUGAAAUCCCUGAGCUUAACUUAGGAAUUGCAUUCGAUACUGGGAAGCUAGAGUAUGGGAGAGGAUGGUAGAAUUCCAGGUGUAGCGGUGAAAUGCGUAGAGAUCUGGAGGAAUACCGAUGGCGAAGGCAGCCAUCUGGCCUAAUACUGACGCUGAGGUACGAAAGCAUGGGGAGCAAACAGGAUUAGAGACCCGCGUAGUCCCUGUCUCUUAUAA